UGCUAUCUCUCUGGGCCCACAGGCUGUGUUCUUUACACCAACUGUAUAGAAGGAAAAGGCACAGUAAAUGCACACCCCAUAUAUAACUCAGCCCAGGCCCUUUGCUUGGUCUAUAUUGUGAAUGGGGGAUAUGG